AAUGUUUCAAAUUGCUUACACUUUGUAAAAUAUUAUAUUCGACAGUAAAUAAGCUCAUUAUAACCAAAGUGAUUACCAUCCCCUAUCCCUUAGGACCCACCUUGAUUAUAACCGCCUAUUUUAAAUUAGAGUGACAAUUUCAUGGCUACAAUCUUUGCUCCAUAAACCUUGGAAGCGUAAGCGUUUUGUCAAAAAUAUCCGAAAAAUGCCACCCAUAACAAUGUUAUCGUUCUUGACCAAAUUAUAAACAAGUAAACAAAAUCAGUUUGUAGCAACAAGCGAAGUUGUGCUGCGAGAAAUCUAAUAUAAACUGCAAAUUGACCAGAGAAAUAUAAAACAUUAUGAGCGGGACGAAGUGCAGGCUAUGUCUCUGUUCCGUGGAUAAGCAAACAGGACUUUUUUGCUCAGUAAAAGAUGAAACCUUCAGUGGCAUGCUGAAGACGGUGUUUUCCUUCCCUGUAUCAUCGGUGUAUACAGUCGCUAACAAAACCUACAACAUGCCCGCUUUGGUGUGCCUCCUGUGUGCGACAAGCAUUCGCAACUUUUUUGAUUUCAGUCAAAAGGUUGCAGCUGUUCAGAAGAAACUGGAAAAGGAAUGCUUGAGCAACGAUGAUAGUAUGUCGAUUUCUGAGCUUCUUCAACUCGUUAAGACGGAACCUGUGUUGGGGGAAGAUGUUUUCGAACGGAACGGUAAUGAAUCGCUCGACAUGUCUGUGGACAUCGAAGCCAUUUCGUUGCCAACAAACCAAAAGCAAAAUAGCGAUGUUAGAAAUGUAUGCAGUGGUCAAUCAGGUCAGAAUCAAAAUUGGACAAGUGAUCGCACAGAUAAAUUCGUUAAUUGCAUUGACACUAAAAAGGUCAUCGAUAGCAUUGCAACUGUAGAAAGGCGUAUGAACACUGUUGUAUCGCGAUUGGAUAUGCUCCUUCGAAAGAGUUUAAAUCCGGCACAAACAAGCAGUCAUGAUACUUUUGAGUUUAAGCUUGUUAGCAAUGAGGAGGAGUGUGUAGCAUUCGAUGCUAAACUAUCUGAAGCAGCGUACAUGGACAAAAUAAUAAAUUGGAUUGCCAGGAGAUCAGGAUCCAAUGACGGUAGACAACGUAUGUUUUUAUCAGUUGAUUUAAUUUUUACUAGGGCCUUUUUCACGAAAUGUACAUGGACAGGAGCCUCACAGAUAGGUGAACAAAAGAUAGCCUUCAAACGAUUCCAAAACAUAUUGAAGCUGUACCGAUUGAUUGGGUCUACUAUCACCACAGUUACGACCGAUGAAGAUGUUCAAAAAUUUUUAAGAUUAAAACUAAAUAAUGCCAAAACCAGGGAGAAGGCAAGAGGACUUCGUCGUUCUGUCAUGCGUCGACAACGCGUAAGGAAAAGCAAGCAGGCAGCAGAAAUAACUUCUGAAGGGGGUUAAGAUAUCUUUACGAAAUGCAUUAAAAAAUGAUGAUGGUGAUAAUGAUCUGUCCCACCUCAACAUAGGAUGCUAAAAGUAUGUUAGGUAUGAAGUCCCGUAUAACCGCCAAUUUUAAAUUAGAGUGACAAUUUCAUGGCUACAAUCUUUGCUCCAUAAACCUUGAAACCGUAAGCGUUUUGUCAAAAAUAUCCGAAUAAUGCCACCCAUAACAAUGUUAUCGUUCUUGACCAAAUUAUAAACAAGUAAACAAAAUCAGUUUGUAGCAACAAGCGAAGUUGUACUGCGAGAAAUCUAAUAUAAACUGCAAAUUGACCAGAGAAAUAUAAAACAUUAUGAGCGGGACGAAGUGUAGGCUAUGUCUCUGUUCCGUGGAUAAGCAAACAGGCCUUUUUUGCUCAGUAAAAGAUGAAACCUUCAGCGGCAUGCUGAAGACGGUGUUUUCCUUCCCUGUAGCAUCGGUGCAUACGGUUGCGAACAAAACCUACAACAUGCCCGCUUUGGUGUGUCUCCUGUGUGCGACAAGCAUUCGCAACUUUUUUGAUUUCAGUCAAAAGGUUGCAGCUGUUCAGAAGAAACUGG